rnacentral:rRNA from 1 species
GUAGGGAAUAUUGGUCAAUGGUCGCAAGACUGAACCAGCCAUGCCGCGUGCAGGAUGAAGCAUCUAUGGUGUGUAAACUGCUUUUGUACGGGAAGAAACACUGCUACGUGUAGCAGCUUGACGGUACCGUAAGAAUAAGGAUCGGCUAACUCCGUGCCAGCAGCCGCGGUAAUACGGAGGAUCCAAGCGUUAUCCGGAAUCAUUGGGUUUAAAGGGUCCGUAGGCGGCUUUAUAAGUCAGUGGUGAAAUCCGGCAGCUUAACUGUCGAAUUGCCAUUGAUACUGUAGGGCUUGAAUUGUUGUGAAGUAACUAGAAUAUGUAGUGUAGCGGUGAAAUGCUUAGAUAUUACAUGGAAUACCAAUUGCGAAGGCAGGUUACUAACAAUACAUUGACGCUGAUGGACGAAAGCGUGGGUAGCGAACAGGAUUAGAUACCCCUGUAGUCC